ACACAUGCAGUCGAACGAUGAACCUCACUUGUGGGGGGAUUAGUGGCGAACGGGUGAGUAACACGUGAGUAACCUGCCCUUGACUCUGGGAUAAGCCUGGGAAACUGGGUCUAAUACCGGAUAUGACUCCUCAUCGCAUGGUGGGGGGUGGAAAGCUUUUUGUGGUUUUGGAUGGACUCGCGGCCUAUCAGCUUGUUGGUGAGGUAAUGGCUCACCAAGGCGACGACGGGUAGCCGGCCUGAGAGGGUGACCGGCCACACUGGGACUGAGACACGGCCCAGACUCCUACGGGAGGCAGCAGUGGGGAAUAUUGCACAAUGGGCG
rnacentral:rRNA from 1 species